ACUGUUAAAAAGGAAAAUUGGCCUCGGUCGUUUCUUAACAAUGCUACCAUUUACUUCAAGAAGAAAAUUGUGGGCUUUAACCUUUGCGCAUUUGAUUCUUCCGCACGGCCUUCCAAGGAACUAGGCUUUGGGCACCCGCCACCUUCAUUCUUAGCUCCAUCCUGGUCCUGACGCAGCUAGCCUGACCAAGCCUUGAAGUACAUCAGAUGCUGUAACCCUACUCAUAGGUACAAUUUUGAAUUUGUGCUGGAUCCAAGGCCAUUGCGUCUGGGGUGAGCUUCAACGUCUUUGAGCCCCUUGAGCUGUAUCCUUUCUCUUCCUCCUGGCCUUCACUGAGCUUGCUCUGUCCAUGUCACUAGGCAGCUUGCCCUGGUUAACACUGAAAUCCCUAUCUGGGCCUGGAGCCAGCUCAUGAACUGCACUCAGGUUCUCUGGGGUCUUGACAACAUGAUAUCUUAUUGCCAGAUAUGUGUUCCUUUAUUCUGUUUAUCAGUAGGUCAAGUCAAUAAAAAUAUAUUGAUUGCCUACUCCAUGCCAAGCUACUAUGUGGGGGAUAUUACUGUCUGGACUUUGAUCUGCUGUUGAGAUAUCAAUCCAAACAACUAGAUCUCAGUCAACCCUGCCGAAUGCCUGAUUCCAAAAUUCACCAUUGGCUGGACAGUCUGUUUUGCCCCAGAUUGGACCUCUUAGAUACUGAUACCGUGUCAAGCUUACUAUAUCCCUUUUGACACUAUAACUUGAAAAUCUAGCUAUCCAUCUCAGGUCCCAGUUCUACAGAAAGGUUAGUCCCCAGUAAUUCUGGCUUCUUUUCCUGUCCUCAUGUCUCCCUUGCCAAGAUCCUGCAAACUUUCCAGGUAAGCCUUCUUGGGUUCUGACCUUUAUAACAUUUAUGAUUUACAAAAAUAUCUUUAUAUAUAUUUUCCCAUUCUAGUUUUGAAUCUUAAAAUAACUCUUUGAGAUAGGAGGGGAGGCUUAUUAAAUCUCUGUUUCACUAAAGAGGAAACUGUCUUUAAGAAGACUAAUGACGUAUUUAUGUUUAAUAAAUGGCCUUUUUAGGAUGUGAACUCAGACCUUAUCUCUCAUUUUAAUGUUCUUUACCCUGGGGGGUGGGGUGGCUAACCUUCACUUUGAACAGACCUUAUAAUUCAUUUCAGGAAGCAGUCAACUCUUUGGUAUGAAGGAUUGAUGUGUUAGACCUCCUAGGACGACACUUUAACCCCCAAAUAAUUACUCAAAACACAUAAAUAUUACAUCCUAUGUAGUUAGAAGGAUAAAAGUCAGUAGAUGUAAGGCCAAGCAUGGUGGCUCAUGCCUAUAAUCCCAGCACUUUGGGAGGCCAAGGCAGACAGAUUACUUGAGGUCAGGAGUUUGAGACCACUCUGUACCCAAAAUACAAAAAAUUAGCUAGCCGUGGUGGCAUAUGCCUGUAAUCCCAGCUACUUGGGAGGCUGAGACAGGAGAAUUGCUUGAACCCAGGAGGCAGAGGUUACAGUGAGCUGAGAUCAUACCACCACACUCCAGCCUGGGCGACAGAGUGGGACUUUGUCUCAAAAAAAAAAAAAAAAAA
rnacentral:lncRNA from 1 species